rnacentral:rRNA from 1 species
UCGCCUGUUUAUCAAAAACAUGUCUUUUUGAAUUUAUUAAAAAGUUUAAUCUGCCCACUGAUAAUUUUUAAAUGGCCGCAGUAUAUUAACUGUGCAAAGGUAGCAUAAUCAUUAGUUUUUUAAUUGAAAGCUGGUAUGAAUGAUUGGACGAAAUAUUAACUAUUUUAAGAUAAUUUAUAUUAAAAUUUUAUUUUUUAGUAAAAAAGCUAAAAUAUAAUUAAAAGACGAGAAGACCCUUUAAAGCUUUAUAUUAAAAUUAAAAUAAUUUUUAGGAUUAUUUUUAUUAUAGUAGUAAAUAAUAUUUUAUUGGGGUGAUAUUAAAAUUUAAAAAACUUUUAAUUAAAAAAAAUCAUUUAUUUAUGAAUUAUUGAUCCGUAAUUAACGAUUAAAAAAUUAAGUUACUUAAGGGAUAACAGCGUAAUUUUUUUGGAGAGUUCUUAUCAAUAAAAAAGAUUGCGACCUCGAUGUUGGAUUAAAAUAUAAUUUUAGGUGUAGCUGCUUAAAUUUUAAGUCUGUUCGACUUUUAAAUUUUUACAUGAUCUGAGUUUAAACCGGUGUAAGCCAGGUUGGUUUCUAUCUUUAAUAAAUUAAAAUAUUUCAGUACGAAAGGACCUAGUAUUUAAUAAAUUAUUAUUUUUAUAUUGAAUAUUAAUAAUUA